GAGGUUGUGGCUCAGCGGUAGAGCCCUCGCCUAACGUGCGAGGGGCCCUGGGUUCGAUCCUCACCACUACA
rnacentral:tRNA from 1 species